AUAUAGGUGCACCGUGCACAUGUUGACCCAACUACCCAAGCCAACAAUCUCUAUCUUCCUCUCGGGCUCUCUUCUCCCUCUCUUCUGUCCCUCCCGUGACCCAACUACCCAAGCCUCUUUUGUUCAUCUCUCUCUCUCUCUCUCUCUCUCUCACUCACUCUCUGACUCUCUCUCUCUCUCUCUCUGACUCUCUCUCUCUGCUUGUGCCGCAUAAUCACCGGCGGCGGCGGCCAUGGCACGGCGUACCCCUGCUGGAGCUCAACGCGGCGCUGGACCCAACGGGCGGGCGCGGUCUCGCCUCAGGGGAAGGGCCUGUUCGGGAGGCUCUGGCCGGCCGUCGCGGGCUUCCGCGCGCUCGCCGGGCUCUACCUCCACUACAACACGCUUAGCCCCUUAGCGGCGUCGUGCACCGGGAGCUCGCCAGGCUCGGUCAAGUUGUCAACAACUUCUCCGGGCCGAUCCAGCCCGAGAUCUCGGCGCCAUGGCCUCGCUGCAAGGUAUGGUGCCAUCCGGAUUUGGAGUGCUCUGGCCAUACUCGUACCUUAAUUGCUGCUAUUUGUGGACUGUAAUAUGUUAAACAUCAAAGCUAGAUCUCAACAUUAUUCAAGGGGUUGUGUCAUAUGUUUUUGGAAGACAUACAAAGUACUCAUUCAAGGAGUACCUCAUUGAAACUAAUAGUUUGUCGGUUGAAACUGAAAUAUUUUAAAAUCAUUUUCUGACAACACCAUAAAACUUUCUGACAACACUAUAAAACUUUUGCUUCCAGCAACACACACACAACAAAUGCAGUCACAGCUAAGCUCCAGACCUUUUAAUGCAUCUAAACUCCGUGUGCAUGCCGUGAUGUGAGCAAUAACAGAACAGCAAUCUAUAUGAAUUACGGGAGAAACAACAGAAGCAGAUAAGCAAAUAAAUUCUAGCCGGAGCACACGAUCACAGGGCGAAAUACACGUGCUCGUAAUCCUUCACCAUAAAAUCUUUGCAGUUAGUGAAAAACAAUGACAGGAAGCGAAUCUCAUUAUCUCAACACCAGCAACCGUACCGCCAUC